GAGGACGUUGCUUGCGACGAGGGGGCUUAUCCUCCUUUGCAAGCAGGGGGUCGGCGGUUCGAGUCCGCUCGUCUCCACCA
rnacentral:tRNA from 1 species